ACAUUCGUAGCUUAGUGGUCAGACUGCUGGUAUCUAAAGCCAGGGAUCCGGUUUCUAUUCCCGGCGAGGGCG
rnacentral:tRNA from 1 species